AUGGAAUUUAAAACAAUGUGUGGCAUGACAAACCCAAUCAGAUCUGUGCAGUAUAUUCAUGUUUAAUUUUUAUGAGAUUCUUAUGUGAUAGUGACAACUGCACCCUUGACCUUGCUGAAGGAGGGGAGGCAUGAAGCUAAUCAGAAAAUUUUCUCUAAUAAGCUUUCAUAGAAGAGUUUUCCAAAUAAAAUGAAGAGGGCUAUCAUGGCAUAUCAAGUUUCUCUAAUUUUCAGGAAACAAAGAUACUAAUUUGCUUUACUCUUAGGGAUUCUUAAAAGGCCUCUUUUCUAACUGCAUAUUUAGAAUAUAUAAUCAGAGGACCAACGUUCAAUAUCUUUUUUUGUGCCAUCACUUUAAAAAGUGCAGCCAUGCUCCCCACUUAACUAUCUGGAGUUGAGAAAUGAUCUGGGAGUUGGCCCAGAAAUAGUGUGAACAGCUAGAGCCAAUAUUGACAAAUCCUUAUUCUGCAACCCCACAAGUUUCUCUCCUAGGUAAGCUCAUGGGGCUCUCAAUCAUACCCUGUCAUUCUUACUUCAGACACUAGUCCCACUUCUUUGGUUAUCUGUAUUCUGAGUCCACAAAUCAGAGGCAUCCAGUUGAAAAAGCUGAAAGCUUCUAGAAUGGCACUAUCCAAUAUGGUAGCCAGUGGCCCCCUGUGGCUACUGUGCACUUAAAAUGUGGCCAGUCCUAACUGCAACGUGCUGAAAAGACAGAAGCUGAUUGAGGUCCCAGCUUGGUAACAGUUUGAAGAGUUGCAGGACUGGCUGGAUGAGUACUGGCUGCAGCAAAUCAGGCUGCCAGGAUUCUUUAUGGCUGUUUCUGCUUCCACUACAGCUGAGUCAGAAAGGUCGCUGCCCCGUGGUGGCACUAGACGCAGUGGACCUGGCAA
rnacentral:lncRNA from 10 species